CCUGCCCUCCUCUUCCCAAUCCACCAUCUUGAACCUCCAAAGACACUCUCUGUGGACUGAGACCCUGUGUGGCAGGAAAAGCUGUAGGUAUGUGGAACUCCCACCUCCCUAGACACUGUGUGUCAAGUCACAGGGAAGUGUCAAGUCCCAAUGACCCAAGACUUCCUUUUGCCUCUGAAGACAUCUUCCUGAGUUUUUGUCUCAAUACUGUCACUUCUAAGCCACCCACGUGCUUUGCCACCUCCUUAAAGCUGUUCCAGGACCACAUCCGGUAUCUCCGUUCUAAUCCCUUUGUCGCAUCAGAAACACUGACGUAGUCUGCCUUUUUGGACACUAUUCUAUGUCUUAUCCACAGAGAUGCCAGCAUCUCCCCUACUGAAUGUCACCUGCUCUCCCAUUCCCUUUCUUGGAGUCCUUCUCCCAAACGAGGACUUGAAACUGUUUUUAGCAAUAAA